AUUGAACGCUGGCGGCAUGCCUAACACAUGCAAGUCGAGCGAGCGGCGGACGGGUGAGUAAUGUAUGGGGACUGCCCGAUAGCGGGGGAUAACUACUGGAAACGGUGGCUAAUACCGCAUACUAUCGGAUAACCCAUAUGGGAUUAGCUAGUAGGUGGGGUAAAGGCUCACCUAGGCGACGAUCGCUAGCUGGUCUGAGAGGAUGACCGGCCACAGUGGGACGGAGACACGGCCCAGACUCCUACGGAGGCAGCAGUAGGGAAUAUUGCACAAUGGGCGCAAGCCUGAGGCAGCCAUGCCGCGUGUAUGAAGAAGGCCUUAGGGUUGUAAAGUACUUUCAGCUGGGAGGCGUUACCGACAGAAGAAGCACCGGCUAACUCCGUGCCAGCAGCCGCGGUAAUUC
rnacentral:rRNA from 1 species